rnacentral:misc_RNA from 1 species
UCCACCUACCUUAUCAUCACAAAUUUCUCCCUUUCCUUUUCCGAAACGGUGGCUGAAGACCGGCGGUUCCAACAGUACGAACGAUGACUGAUAUCGUUGUACGAUUUAAUAUAAUCUGUAUUGACCCCUCUAUUUACUCUCAUUAUCCCAACACACGAUUCCUCUUACCUUUCUUGCGUUCACCGGCAUCUAUAUGAGAUGCGGCCGCCGCCUCAGUUCCUCCUCCUCCUCCUCCUCCUCCUCCUCUAUUUGGUCUAUCCCUGUUUUUCCGUCGACUUUCUCUUCAAUUCCUUCAAUGCUACGGCCCCCGGCGUUAUUUUCAGAGGUGAUGCCCGGGUGGACUCUUCGGUCAUCCUGCUCACCAACGAUACCAACCAGUAUUCCUUGGGACGUGCCUUUUACCCAACAAGGAUUCAAAUGAAACAAACCCAGAACUCCACUAUUCUGUCUUCCUUCUCCACUUCAUUCGUUUUCUCUGUACUGCCAGAGAUCGCCUCAAGUCCAGGCUUUGGCCUUACCUUUGUUCUCUCAAACUGGACCGACCCUCCUAAUGCUCUCGCUAGUCAGUAUUUUGGGCUUUUCUCUAAUGCGACUGUAUCUUCUCAGGCUCCACUUCUGGCUAUCGAAUUCGAUACGGGGCAGAAUCCGGAAUUCAAUGACCCUGAUGGGAAUCAUAUUGGGAUUGAUUUGAAUAAUAUUGAAUCUACCAAGACAGCACCUGCUGGAUAUUAUAAUUCCUCUGGAGGUCUUGUGCCGGUAAUUAUGAACAAUGGGCAGAAUGUUCACGCCUGGAUUGACUUUGAUGGUCCCAAUUUUGAGAUAAAUGUGACAGUUGCGCCUAUUGGUGUCUCUCGUCCAUCUGCGCCUACUCUCAAUUAUAAAAAUCCUGUUAUUGCUAAUUAUGUUUCUGCUGAGAUGUAUGUGGGAUUCUCAGCUUCCAAGACGACUUGGGUUGAGCCACAAAGGAUUUUGGCUUGGAGUUUCAAUGACACAGGGCUCGCCAGAGAAAUUAACACCACAAAUCUGCCAGUUUUUUUGCCACCAUCGUCGUCCAAUUCUUUGUCAGCUG